rnacentral:rRNA from 1 species
UUUAGUUGCCAGCAGUUCGGCUGGGCACUCUAAAGGGACUGACCGGUGUUAAACCGGAGGAAGUGGGGAUGACGUCAAGUCCUCAUGGCCUUUAUGACCAGGGCUACACACGUACUACAAUGGCCGAUACAAAGGGCAGCGACACUGCGAGGUGAAGCCAAUCCCGUAAAAUCGGUCUCAGUCCGGAUUGGAGUCUGCAACUCGACUCCAUGAAGUUGGAAUCGCUAGUAAUCGUGGAUCAGCAUGCCACGGUGAAUACGUUCCCGGGCCUU